AGUAUUUUGACUAUACAAAGGUAUUGUAAUAAGAUUUUAAUUGAAUGCUAAAAGAAUGGAAAUUUAAAAAAAAACUUUUUUAAAAAUAAAAAUUGAAUUUUUUUUAAUUUGUGCAAAAACAAUUAUAUUUAUUAAAGACAAGAAGACCCUAAGAAUUUAAGAUUUUACAAUUAAAAAGUUUUUUUUUUAAAAUCUUGAUUGGGGCGAUCAAAAAAUAUUAAUAACUUUUUAAAAUUUAAAUUGAUCUAUUAUUAAUAAACUAAUGAAUUAAAUACUCUAGGGAUAACAGCGUAAUAAUUUUUGAUAGAUCUUAUUGACAAAAUAGUUUGCGACCUCGAUGUUGGAUUAGGAUUCUUUUUUAAUGAAGAAGUUAAAAAAAGAAGUUUGUUCAACUUUUAAAUUCCU
rnacentral:rRNA from 3 species